CCUCGUACCCCCAGAGCUAUAUAAAAGGGGGCGCUCAUUCAUUGAAAGGAUCUCUCCCUUCUUGCACCGUCACCCUGCUGAAAUCACACCCCAACCUGCACACCAAAGCUCAAAAUGCCACAGGGGUGCUCAAAGUUCAUCACCGAAACUUUGAGUAAACCGAGCUUGACCCUAACGAACCAAACACAGGAGUAAGAAGAAGGAUAGGCUGAAAACUAAGCGGAAACAGGAGGAAAGCUCGCACCCCAAAUCGAAACACACUUAUUUGAGGUAACUACUCAUCGGGGUCUCGCCGGAGUCGCGAAGCUCCGACGACGUCUUUCACUGUUUAUUCAACCCUUCCUAGGCGAUUGUAGCGCCAUGUAGUCACCAUUUGCGUUUUUUGAUUUGUUGCUUAUUCAUGCAAUACUGAGUUAAGUCUGGAAUAUGGUAGAUCCAUAAGGAUUCUUGCUAUAUCUCGGUUUAAAUUUGUUUUUGUUGCUUUCUUUGUUGUGGGUUUUUGUUUAAUUUUUGUUGGAAUUGGAGAUCGUUUUUGCUCAGAUCGAUUGGGAUUCCGAUGAUGAACAUUGUGGGAUGUUCAUCUUUGGUUCUGGAAUACUUAGGGUUUCGGUUGUAAGAUUUUUGCUCAAUAGAAAUUUUAGGAAAGUUGUUUUCAAAGCUUGGUGUUCAUGUUUGGUUUUGGGUUGGUUUGCUCGGAGAAGGUGGUGUUGGUUACCGCGGGUUUAUUAUUUUUUUUCACUCCCUGUAAAAGGAUUAGAGUGAGAAUGGUUGGAUUAUAGCAAUGAAGAGAGAUGGAUGUUCGUUUUGAUUGUAUUUCUGUCUCAUAAAUGUCAUUAGAUAUAAUUUAAUACUGUUGCUUGGGAUGUUA